GACGAACGCUGGCGGCGUGCUUAACACAUGCAAGUCGAACGGAAAGGCCCUGCUUUUGUGGGGUGCUCGAGUGGCGAACGGGUGAGUAACACGUGAGUAACCUGCCCUUGACUUUGGGAUAACUUCAGGAAACUGGGGCUAAUACCGGAUAGGAGCUCCUGCUGCAUGGUGGGGGUUGGAAAGUUUCGGCGGUUGGGGAUGGACUCGCGGCUUAUCAGCUUGUUGGUGGGGUAGUGGCUUACCAAGGCUUUGACGGGUAGCCGGCCUGAGAGGGUGACCGGCCACAUUGGGACUGAGGUACGGCCAAGAGUCAUACGGGAGGCAGCAGUGGGAAAUAGUGCGCAAUGGGCGGAAGCCGGAUGCAGCAACGCCGCGUGCGGGAUGACGGCCUUCGGGGUGUAAACCGCUUUCGCCUGUGACGGAGCGUGAGUGACGGUAAUGGGUGAAGAAGCACCGGCUAACUACGUG
rnacentral:rRNA from 1 species